GAAACAUUCACUCCUGGCCUCUCUUUCACUUGCUUUAUUCUUGUUUGAACGAAGGGGAAAAUGCCGUGGGUCGAACAGGCAUCGACGAAGACAGCCAUACCCGUCAGGCCCCCGACCCCACGUCGCCAUAAAUAGCCGGGACUCCGCCAUUAUAGUUCUCUUUGUGCAUGCACUUGCCUCUGGAGAAUGUCCGCGAGCUGUGUUGCGCCGGGGGGCUGCUGUGGCGCCAUCCCCUACGCCAGGGGGAGGCGGCGGCCCCGGCGACCUGCGCUGUCUCUGCCAAGCUUCCUUCGUGGCCCUGGUCUUCGUAGGCUGGUUCGCAGCGCCACGAGGGUGUUUUAAGGUGCUCGCCGUGUGUUACCUUUGAAUAAAGCCUGAUUAUUCUAGAAGCCUACUUGGAGCAGUGCCCUUUUACAGAUCAGUGUCUAAUCUGGUGACUGAAUGGCUGAAGUUGGGAACUUAGCCUCUUGGAGAAGUGCUGGUGAGACUUCUGGGUCGCCUAGAUAGUGGCUCCUGCCACUUGAAUCUUUGGGCUGCAAUGAGGAGUGAAGAGCCAUGUCCUUUCUCCCUGGCUCCUAUGGAUUUUGCUAACGAGAGGAUGUGUCUUAUUUGGUGUUGAGCAAAUCCUAGGAACUUCCAUCUAGCUGUCCUGCAUUAACCUGUGAGCAGCUUUGAACUUGAGAAAAAAAAUUGCAUAGAAAUUUUGAGAUAUUUAAAUAUCAUUCAGACCACUUUGCUUCAUUGUAAUCAAAUACUUGGUCUUGUCAAAAGGAUUCUAAUAAAAUGCUUUAGAGCAAAGUAAAA